rnacentral:tRNA from 1 species
GCCCUUGUAGCUCAGUUGGCAGAGCACGUCCUUGGUAAGGACGAGGUCACCGGUUCAAUCCCGGUCGAGGGCUCCA